AACCACAGAUCUCCUCCAGCAGCAGCCCUGACUCUGCUAAUUUGCAUCACAGGCUGCUCUCUUCAGCAAGGGAAUAAGAGAGGCCUGGGAGGAACCUGCCCAGCCUGGGCCUCAGGAAGCAGCAUCGGGGGUGCCUAAGCCAUGGCCUGGACCGCUCUCCUUCUGAGCCUCCUUGCUCACUUUACAGGCUCUGUGGCCUCCUAUGAGCUGACUCAGCCACUCUCAGUGUCAGUGGCCCUGGGACAGAUGGCCAGGAUCACUUGUGGGGGAAACAAUAUUGGAAGGAAAAAUGUGCAGUGGUACCAGCAGAAGCCAGACCAGGCCCCUGUGCUGGUCAUCUAUCAGGAUAGCAAGCGGCCCUCUGGGAUCCCUGAGCGAUUCUCUGGCUCCAACUCGGGGAACACCGCCACCCUGACCAUCGACAGAGCCCAAGCCGGGGAUGAGGCUGACUAUUACUGUCAGGUGUGGGACAGCAGCACUGCACACAGUGACACAGGCAGAUAAGGAAGUGAGACACAAACCCUUUCUCCAUCUGUGUCACCCUCUUUCUCUAACUCCAGGAGUACUAUGAACAAAGCCAUAAGCAGAUCUGGUUCAAUUUUCUUUAAUCUCUGCCCCCAGCCUGUCCCUCCCUCCAGUGCUUCAGGCGGGGUCUGCAGAAAGUGCAUCAGAAGUUCAUUUAGGGUGAUGUGAUGGACUGGUGUUUUGGUGACUCAGCUGUGACUUGGGAAAAUAGGGCCUGUAUGGAACAUCAGACUGAGGUAGACAUCCAUAGUUGGCUCUGGAUUUCCAUAGGUGGUGACAGGCCAGUCCUUGCCCCAAAUGUCCUAGAUCAGUCCCCAGAACUGCUCAGCUCAGGCUCCCGUGGUAGCCGGGGCAGAAAACAGACUCCUCCAGGUUUAUGCCCUGCCUCAGCGAGGUUAGGUUUCAUGACUGCCUGAGGUCAACAUCUCAAGACUCUGCCUCAAUAUAGGAGGACCUGAAAAUCCUCCCAGCUCCACAGCUCCCUGUAGGAAACACUGAGGCCUCAAUGAGAAUCGGGGUCUCCUGCCCGGUGUUGCCUCCCUCACCUCCUUUCACAUCCUCUGUGCAUGCAAUUCUCCAUCUCAGAGUCUGCUUCCAGGGAACCCAAAUUAAGAUCACCAGCCAUCCCCAACAUGGGCCAUGCGGGAAACUCAGUAGGCCACAGUACACUGGAAAGCAUCCUAAAUUAGCAUUGUGAGUAUCCACAUGCCCAAUGAAAUCUGAGUGUUUCUUGCAUUUGUAUGGAUGAAAAGGGAGCCUGACUCACCAGGUGCUCUGGGUUCUGAGGGAGAGCUGGAGUCAGAUCUCCCCGCACAGAAACCUGGGGCAGGAGGAGCAGCCUCACCCCAUGCAGGGACCACAGAUGCAUCCACAGGGUGAGCUGCAGGAUGGACACUGCCCACCUCCACCCUCCACACCCAGUGCAAAAAAUAUCAUUCUUUCCACCCCUCCUUCAGCCUAUCCAAGUUGACACUUAAAAAGCCACCACAGCCCACGCUUGUCAACAGGAAACCCAUUCACAUCUCCAUCAACCACACAAUCCCCACAGAUUCUUCA